GACGAACGCUGGCGGCGUGCUUAACACAUGCAAGUCGAACGGAAAGGCCCUGCUUUUGUGGGUUUCUCGAGUGGCGAACGGGUGAGUAACACGUGAGUAACCUGCCCUUGACUUUGUGAUAACUUCAGGAAACUGGGGCUAAUACCGGAUAGGAGCUCCUGCUGCAUGGUGUUGGUUGGAAAGUUUCGGCGGUUGGGGAUGGACUCGCGGCUUAUCAGCUUGUUGGUGGGGUAGUGGCGUACCAAGGCUUUGACGGGUAGCCGGCAUGAGAGGGUGACCGGCGACAUUGGGACUGAGAUACGGACCAGAAUCCUACGGGAGGCAGUAGUGGGGAAUCUUGCACAAUGGGCGGAAGCCUGAUGCAGAAACGCCGCGUGCGGGAUGACGGCCUUCGGGUUGUAAACAGCUUUCGCAUGUGACGAAGCGUGAGUGACGGUAAUGGGUAAAGAAGCACCGGCUAACUACGUG
rnacentral:rRNA from 1 species